rnacentral:rRNA from 1 species
AAUGAACGUUGGCGGCGUGGAUUGGGCAUGCAAGUCGUGCGCUAAUCGUAGCAAUACGAGGAGAGCGGCGAAAGGGAGAGGAUAGCAUAGAUACCUACCCUCGGACCUGGGAUAGCUAUGGGAAACUAUAGGUAAUACCAGAUAAUGUCUCCGGACCAAAGGUGUGAUUCCGUCCGGGGAGGGGUCUAUGUCCUAUUAGCGUGUUGGUGAGGUAACGGCUCACCAAGGCAAAGAUGGGUACGAGGCGUGAGAGCGUGUCCUCGCUCACUGGGACUGAGACCCUGCCCAGACACCUACGGGUGGCUGCAGUCGAGAAUCUUCGGCAAUGGGCGCAAGCCUGACCGAGCGACGCCGCGUGUGGGAUGAAGGCCUUCGGGUUGUAAACCACUGUCAGUGCGGAGGAAAUAUAGUGGGGUUCCCCCCAUUAUUUGACCUAUGCGCAGAGGAAGGACGGGCUAAGUUCGUGCCAGCCGCCGCGGUAA